rnacentral:rRNA from 1 species
AUUGAACGCUGGCGGCAGGCCUAACACAUGCAAGUCGAGCGGAUGAUGGGAGCUUGCUCCUGGACUCAGCGGCGGACGGGUGAGUAAUGCCUAGGAAUCUGCCUGGUAGUGGGGGACGACGUUUCGAAAGGAACGCUAAUACCGCAUACGUCCUACGGGAGAAAGCAGGGGACCUUCGGGCCUUGCGCUAUCAGAUGAGCCUAGGUCGGAUUAGCUUGUUGGUGAGGUAAUGGCUCACCAAGGCGACGAUCCGUAACUGGUCUGAGAGGAUGAUCAGUCACACUGGAACUGAGACACGGUCCAGACUCCUACGGGAGGCAGCAGUGGGGAAUAUUGGACAAUGGGCGAAAGCCUGAUCCAGCCAUGCCGCGUGUGUGAAGAAGGUCUUCGGAUUGUAAAGCACUUUAAGUUGGGAGGAAGGGUUGUAGAUUAAUACUCUGCAAUUUUGACGUUACCGACAGAAUAAGCACCGGCUACUCUGUGCCAGCCGCCGCAGUAAGAC